CUUGGGAAGGAGCAAGACAUGGAAGAAGGGGGACAGACACAUGGAACGACGAAGGGAGAGAUAUGAAAGGGAGAUGAGAAACAUGGAAGGGGAAACAAAGGCAUUGAUAGAAAAGGGAGAGAGACAUGGUACGAAGGGGGGAAGAGACAUGGAAAGAAGGGAGAGAGAGAGACAUGAAAGGGGGAGAGACUUGAUUGGAAGGGUGGAGAGAAACAUUGAAGGAAGGGGGUGAGACAUGGAAGUGGUGUGCAGUCUGGUGCAU